rnacentral:rRNA from 1 species
ACGGAAGGCAGCAGUGGGGGAUAUUGCACAAUGGGGGAAACCCUGAUGCAGCGACGCUGCGUGAGCGAUGAAGUAUUUCGGUAUGUAAAGCUCUAUCAGCAGGAAAGAUAAUGACGGUACCUGACUAAGAAGCACCGGCUAAAUACGUGCCAGCAGCCGCGGUAAUACGUAGGGGGCAAGCGUUAUCCGGAAUUAUUGGGCGUAAAGAGUGCGUAGGUGGUUUCCUAAGCAUGGGGUUUAAGGCAAUGGCUUAACCAUUGUUCGCCCCAUGAACUGGGUCACUUGAGUGCUGGAGAGGAAAGCGGAAUUCCUAGUGUAGCGGUGAAAUGCGUAGAUAUUAGGAGGAACACCAGUGGCGAAGGCGGCUUUCUGGACAGUUACUGACACUGAGGCACGAAAGUGUGGGGAGCAAACAGGAUUAGAUACCCUGGUA